UACGUAGGGGGCAAGCGUUGUCCGGAUUUAUUGGGCGUAAAGAGCGUGUAGGCGGCCACACAGGUCAGCUGUGAAAACUCGAGGCUCAACCUCGAGACGUCGGUUGAAACCGUAUGGCUAGAGUCCGGAAGAGGAGAGUGGAAUUCCCGGUGUAGCGGUGAAAUGCGCAGAUAUCGGGAGGAACACCCGUGGCGAAGGCGGCACUCUGGGACGGUACUGACACUGAGGCACGAAGGCCAGGGGAGCAAACGGG
rnacentral:rRNA from 1 species